GCCGCCGCUGCAGAUCUGGGCAAGGGCUCGCUCGAGCGAGUUCCACCGCGCUCGCCCAUCUUGGCGACGACCGAUCUGGGUGAAGGCUCGCUUGCGAGCCAACACUAUCCUCACCUGCGUUAGCCUCUCCCGGUCACAUCUCAACCAUUUUGUUCCUUUGUGUGAACUCUAAUCCCUCCACCAAAUUGAUUGCACAGGUUGAUUGGUGAUUAAUCAAUUUGAGUAGAAGUUCGUUUCACCUGGAUUCAGUUCCACGCUUCUGUCGAUUGCUUUCUGUAAUUUGUCCAAGUUGAUUCACAAAGGUAAAAUCCUCACCUGUUAUUGAAAUGAUUUCUCUCUUCAUUUUUCUAGUUCUGAUUAUUAUUAGUUGGAGAUUCAUGGAGCCAUUUGUUAUGCCAAGCAAAGAAAACAAGAGGAACCAUUUUUAAUGAAGGUUUCAUUGAUAUGUGAGCUUUUCUUAUGGUCCUUGGCUUGGAAUGCGGUAUGACAAGACUAUGUUAACUUCAUGAAAUUGCCAAUAAUCCUGUGGACUGUUGGCAGGGCCAAGGCCGCCUUUCUUGUGGUUAUCCAUGGUGGACAAUCUGUAUUACUUCUGUAGGUGCAUUAUAUUGUGCAGUAUGCGCAUAAGAAGACCAUUAGAAGUAUUAACAUUCUAGUGUGUAGGCAAGCAGACUUAAUUUGCACUGCUGUCUGGGUGUAUUUUUCAUUAGUUGUCAGUGAGCAAGCUUGCUGUACCUGAAGUAUCUUUAUAGUGAGUUAUAUGUUGACAAGAACAUCGUUGGAUCAA